rnacentral:rRNA from 1 species
GACGAACGCUGGCGGCGUGCCUAACACAUGCAAGUCGAACGAGGUCCAUCCUUCGGGAGAAGACCUAGUGGCGAACGGGUGAGUAACACGUGAAGAACCUGCCCCCGAAGACCGGGAUAACCCUCCGAAAGGAGAGCUAAUACCGGAUACCCCCACCGAACCGCAUGGUUUGGUGAGGAAAUGGAUUCCGCUUCGGGAGGGCUUCGCGGCCUAUCAGCUAGUUGGUGGGGUAACGGCCCACCAAGGCAUCGACGGGUAGCUGGUCUGAGAGGACGAUCAGCCACACUGGGACUGAGACACGGCCCAGACUCCUACGGGAGGCAGCAGUGGGGAAUCUUGCGCAAUGGGCGAAAGCCUGACGCAGCAACGCCGCGUGGGGGAUGAAGGCUCUCGGGUUGUAAACCCCUUUCAGCAGGGACGAAUCGGUGGUCCCUAAUACGGGCUACGUAAUGACGGUACCUGAAGAGAAGCACCGGCUAACUACGUGCCAGCAGCCGCGGUAAU